GGCUGGCCGCACGCAGACGUCACAAACGGACCGCUCCGUCAUCACCGUCGGCCACGAAGACCUUUCUUCUCUGCUUAUCAGCUGCUCUUCAUCUUGUUUGUGAGGUCAUCUCCUGCUUCUGCGCGCUCGAUCCCAAGUAAUUCGUCCUGUCAACACCGUGACACCUUGUGGUCGGGAGUAAAGUCUGUGGCUGUGAUGUCUCGCACUCUGCUCUUUGUCCUCCAGAUACUUCUGUGCGCCUCCCUUCCCAGCGGCGAGGGGCGCGCCAUGGAUGAUGAAUACAUGGAGAAGCGCGUGAAUAUCUUCGAUUCUGGUCCGUGCGCCGCCUCCUGUCAGGCCGAGUGUGGCGGGCUGUGUCUCUUCAGCACCCAGAGGUGGACCUACGUCUGCUACUGCAGCUUCAGCCGCCAUGGCUAGCCGAGACCUGCCCUCUGAUUGUCUCAUUAGCCGAGACUUCCAUCGUGGCUUUGGUCAGCUGAGAACGACUCCACAGCCAUGGUUAACUGAGUUUUUCUCAGCGGAGGAGCUACAGAAUUAACACGGGUUGCAGUUGUUUGUUUGUUUGUUUUUAUCACCCUCUGGCGAGUAGUCCAGGUCCACGUUCAUUUAACAAGUAAAAUCAUUGAUUUCGGUGUCAAAUUUUCUUUAUUUAUUCGUGAGUUAUCACCAGAAGCCUGUUGUCCGUCUGCUAGAGAUGAAGUCCUGUCGUCAUAGUACUUUGAUUGUUGCCUGGACAACGACUGUGUACACCUUAGCAACUGCUUUAUACGUGGGCUUACACUGAGGGGGACAAACUCCAAGUUAUCACUGCUUCACGCGGUAUGUAGGCUGGAAUUAUUACCUACUCCACAUUAAAGAGAUCCCUCUGCUGGCCA